rnacentral:rRNA from 1 species
GACGAACGCUGGCGGCGUGCUUAACACAUGCAAGUCGAACGGAAAGGCCCUGCUUUUGUGGGGUGCUCGAGUGGCGAACGGGUGAGUAACACGUGAGUAACCUGCCCUUGACUUUGGGAUAACUUCAGGAAACUGGGGCUAAUACCGGAUAGGAGCUCCUGCUGCAUGGUGGGGGUUGGAAAGUUUCGGCGGUUGGGGAUGGACUCGCGGCUUAUCAGCUUGUUGGUGGGGUAGUGGCUUACCAAGGCUUUGACGGGUAGCCGGCCUGAGAGGGUGACCGGCCACAUUGGGACUGAGAUACGGCCCAGACUCCUACGGGGGGCAGCAGUGGGGAAUAUUGCACAAUGGGCGGAAGCCUGAUGCAGCAACGCCGCGUGCGGGAUGACGGCCUUCGGGUUGUAGACCGCUUUCGCCUGUGACGAAGCGUGAGUGACGGUAAUGGGUAAAGAAGCACCGGCUAACUACGUG